CCUACGGGAGGCUGCAGUGGGGAAUAUUGCACAAUGGGGGAAACCCUGAUGCAGCGACGCCGCGUGAGUGAAGAAGUAUCUCGGUACGUAAAGCUCUAUCAGCAGGAAAGAAAAUGACGGUACCUGACUAAGAAGCCCCGGCUAACUACGUGCCAGCAGCCGCGGUAAUACGUAGGGGGCAAGCGUUAACCGGAUUUACUGGGUGUAAAGGGAGCGUAGACGGCGCUGCAAGUCCGGAGUGAAAGCCCAUGGCUUAACCAUGGUACUGCUCUGGAAACUGGAGAGCUUGAGUGCGGGAGGGGCAGGCGGAAUUCCUAGUGUAGCAGUGAAAUGCGUAGAUAUUAGGAGGAACACCAGUGGCGAAGGCGGCUUACUGGACUGUAACUGACGUUGAGGCUCGAAAGCGUGGGGAGCAAACAGGAUUAGAUACCCUUGUAGUC
rnacentral:rRNA from 1 species